rnacentral:misc_RNA from 1 species
CAACCCUCAAGCACGGCUUGGUAUUGGGUGUCACCUAGCAAUGGUGCACCUUAAAAUCAGUGGCAGUACCACCUGGCUUCAAGUGUAGUAAUUAUCGUACUUUGGAGGCUUAGGUGUAUUCUUGCUAUCAACCCCUAAUUUUUCAAA